rnacentral:rRNA from 1 species
AUUGAACGCUAGCGGGAUGCUUUUCUCAUGCAAGUCGAACGAGUGGCGGACGGGUGAGUAAUAUAUCGGAACGUGCCCAGUAGCGGGGGAUAACUACCCGAAAGAGUGGCUAAUACUGCAUACUAUUGGAGCGGCCGAUAUCGGAUUAGCUAGUUGGUGGGGUAAAGGCUCACCAAGGCAACGAUCCGUAGCUGGUUUGAGAGGACGACCAGCCACACUGGGACUGAGACACGGCCCAGCCUCCUACGGGAUGCAGCAGUGGGGAAUUUUGGACAAUGGGGGAACCCCUGAUCCAGCCAUCCCGCUUGAAUGAGGAGGCCUUGGUGUUGAAAAGUACUUUUGGCAGAGAUGCGGUAUCUGGAGAAUAAGGACCGGCUAAAUACGUGCCAGCAGCCGCGGUAAGAC